UUCCGGUUGAUCCUGCCGGACCUGACUGCUAUCGGAUUGAUACUAAGCCAUGCGAGUCAUUGCAGCAAUGCAAGGCGGACGGCUCAGUAACACGUAGUCAAUCUACCCUGUGGACGGGGAUAAUCUCGGGAAACUGAGCAUAAUACCCGAUAAACCAUUAUGCCUGGAACGGUUUAUGGUUAAAAUGAUUCGUCGCCACAGGAUGGGACUGCGGCCUAUCAGCUUGUUGGUGAGUUAACGGCCCACCAAGGCGAUAACAGGUACGGGCUCUGAGAGGAGAAGCCCGGAGAUGGGUACUGAGACACGGACCCAGGCCCUAUGGGGCGCAGCAGGCGAGAAAACUUUGCAAUGUGCGAAAGCACGACAAGGUUAAUCCGAGUGGCCUCUGCUGAAGAGGUCUUUUGACAGUCCUAGAAACACUGUCGAACAAGGGGUAGGCAAGUUCUGGUGACAGCCGCCGCGGUAAAACCAGCACCUCAAGUGGUCAGGAUGAUUAUUGGGCCUAAAGCAUCCGUAGCCGGAUCUAUAAGUUUUCGGUUAAAUCUAUGCGCUCAACGUAUAGGCUGCCGGAAAUACUGUGGAUCUAGGGAGUGGGAGAGGUAGACGGUACUCGGUAGGAAGAGGUAAAAUUCACUAAUCUAUCGAUGACCACCUGUGGCGAAGGCGGUCUACCAGAACACGUCCGACGGUGAGGGAUGAAAGCUGGGGGAGCAAACCGGAUUAGAUACCCGGGUAGUCCCAGCUGUAAACAAUGCAAACUCAAUGAUGCAUCGGGUUGAACCCGGUGCAGUGUUGCAGGAAAGCCGUUAAGUUUGCCGCCUGGGAAGUACGUACGC
rnacentral:rRNA from 1 species